rnacentral:rRNA from 1 species
GACAGAGGGUGCAAACGUUGUUCGGAAUUACUGGGCGUAAAGCGCGUGUAGGCGGCUAUGCAAGUCGGAUGUGAAAGCCCUCGGCUCAACCGGGGAAGUGCACCCGAAACUGCAAAGCUAGAGUCUCGGAGAGGAUCGUGGAAUUCUCGGUGUAGAGGUGAAAUUCGUAGAUAUCGAGAGGAACACCGGUGGCGAAGGCGGCGAUCUGGACGGAUGACUGACGCUGAGACGCGAAAGCGUGGGGAGCAAACAGGAUUAAGAUACCCCGGAGUAAGUCCGAUGACCAAGUCCCUACUGCU